rnacentral:rRNA from 1 species
UACAGAGGGGGCGAGCGUUGUUCGGAAUUACUGGGCGUAAAGGGCGCGUAGGCGGCCUUCUAAGUCAGACGUGAAAUCCCUCAGCUUAACUGGGGAACUGCGUCUGAUACUGGAUGGCUUGGAUCCGGAAGAGGGAUGCGGAAUUCCAGGUGUAGCGGUGAAAUGCGUAGAUAUCUGGAGGAACACCGGUGGCGAAGGCGGCAUCCUGGGCCGGUAUUGACGCUGAGGAGCGAAAGCCAGGGGAGCAAACGGG